AUUUAAAUUUUUAAUAAUAUUUGGGCCCGGUUAUCAAAUUGGUUCACUUUGAGGUCUAAAGGGUGUAAAAUUGAACAUUAUUUGAUUUCAUCUAAAAUUGAAUUCUUGUGGUUCUAUGAUAUGCUGAAUCUAACCAUGUAUUUAGAUUUUGGAUAUUGGACCAUAAUAGGUAAAUGUCCAAUUUAAGUUUUUAAGUUUAAGUUCUUAGACCACAUUCAUUCUGUAUCAGAAACCUAUCUUGUGUCAACUGUUUAAUCGCAAUCCAAAUUCAGAGCUGUAUCAAGCUUAAAUGUUGUGUCCAUACUUGCCCCCAACUGUUCAGGGUUCUACCUCUGCGGUCGUAUAAAGCUGCGCCCUGCGGAGCAUCUGGUUUUAUCGUAGUGGUUGUCUUAUUGGUGUAUUUUAUAGUUCAUCUGUUGUCUCAUGUGUGAAUAAUAUUAUUGAGUUGCAGUUUCAUUGAUUCAUUUUGUAGUUUAGUUGCUGAAUUACCGAUGUACACCCGGGGUCACUAAGUUAUGCUUUAUUAUAUUUUUGUAAUCUAUAGACAUGCAUUUUUAUCCUGUAUGUGCAUCAUUCAGUAUGUAUUUUCUAGUGUUUCACUGUCGCUGUAAAAAAAAUAUGUUUCACAUAAAUGGUGUUUUUAUGCCACACUUACGAUAGUUGAGGGGCAUCGUGUCUUCUGGUAUGCCCGUUCGUCUGUACCGCUUCAGGCUUAAGUUUUUGAUUAAUGUUCUUGAUCAAGGUAGUUUUUUAUGAAGUUGAAGUCCAAGCAACUUGAAAUUUAGUAUAAACAUGUUCCAUAUGAUAUGAUCUUUCUAAUUUUAAUUCCAAAUUAAUGAGUUUUUAAUCACAAUUUCACGGUCCAAUUGACAUAGAAAAUGACAGUGCGAGUUUCUAUAGAAACAUUCUUGUUAUUUAUUGUUUUGAUCCUUGUAUCUAUAUAAGUUAUUUUGUUUAGAAAAAAGCACCAUUUUGCCAAUUAUAUGAAUUGUAAUGCAGAGGAUAUAUUGCUUACAAUUCGUUUCAGUAAAUAAAG
rnacentral:lncRNA from 1 species